rnacentral:rRNA from 1 species
CAGCAGGCGCGAAACCUUUUCAAUGCACGCAAGUGUGAGAAGGGAAUUCCAAGUGCUCAAGUUUUACUUGGGCUUUUGCCAAGUGUAAAAAGCUUGGCGAAUAAGGGGUGGGUAAGACUGGUGCCAGCCGCCGCGGUAACACCAGCGCCUCGAGUGGGGAUCGCGAUUAUUGGGUCUAAAGCGUCCGUAGCAGGCUUUGUGAAUGCUUUGUGAAAUCGGCAGGCAUAACCUGUCGGCGUGCAGAGUACACUGCAGAGCUUGAGACCGGGAGAUGUCAGAAGUAUUCCUAGGGUACCGGUAAAAUGGGUUAAUCCUGGGAGGACUACCGAUGGCGAAGGCAUCUGACAAGAACGGUUCUGACUGUGAGGGACGAAAGCUAGGGGAGCAAAACGGAUUAGAUACCCGAGUAGUCCUAGCCGUAAACGCUGCGAGCAAGGUAUUGCGCCUCCCACGAGGAUGCGCAGUGUCGAAAUGAAGAUGUUAAGCUCGCCACCAGGGAAGUACGGUCGCAAGGCUGAAACUUUAAGGAAUUGGCGGGGGAGCACAAGGGCGAAUUCGCG